AGAUAGCGCUUUUCACAAACGCUAUGUUUGGCCUUUAUGAAAAUUAAAAAAAGGCGGAUAUUAUUUUCAUUCUCCCACACAAACUAAAAGAUAACACAUAACAUUCUCUCUCCUUGAUCCAAAGCUGAAAGAGCUUCCACUGUCCAACACAUACCACUCUCUCUCCAACCACUGUCCUUCCUUCCUUCUCGAAAGAGCUUCCACCGUCCUUCUACUCCAAAACUGAAAUCCAAACCAGCUUCUUUCAUCGGUCAAAAUCAAAGUUGGAAGUCACUCUCUCUCUCUCUCUCUCUCUCUCUCUCUCUCUCUCUAUCUCUCUCUCGAAAUCGAAGUCGGAAUCGAAGUAAGAAGUCGGAAUUGAAGUUUGAAUGGAAGUCUCAAUUGAAAGAGCCUUCUCUCUUCUUCUCUGAUUCUGCUUUCCUUCAAGGAGCAUCCGUCGUGGUCGCCGCCGUUGUCUCUGUUUUCCUUCAAUAACGUGUCCUAUGCAAACGAAUGGCAUUGACUGUGGCUAUUUUGUCAUGCAAUUUAUGAAAGAGAUAAUAUUGGCAAAUCAAGACAUGAUCCCCGAAAAUGUAUUACUUUGGAGAUUACAAAUGUAAAACCUAUUCUAAAGAUAAGCUAGUUCAGGUCGAGGAGGAUUGGGCAACCUUUAUGGUCCAGUAUCUUAGAGACUAUAUUGCUGAUAGACUUAAACCGUAAUUGGUUGUGCUGGACUAUAUAGCUUGUCACGAGUCCUCUUAAAUUUAGGUGUUUUUUUGUUGAUAAUUAACUGUGGCUGCUUUUUGGAGUUUGUUUUUUAUUUUUUUUUAUUUUUUAUUUUUAUUGUUUUUAUUUUUAUUGGCAAUUGUGGAUUGACUAGUAUUAUGACAUUCAUAAUUAAAUUUAUGAUCAAUUUGUAAUGAGAUUAUCAUGAAUGUAAUUUGCUAUAUUCAUA